UACGUAGGGGGCAAGCGUUGUCCGGAUUUACUGGGUGUAAAGGGUGCGCAGGCGGAUUGGUAAGUCAGAGGUGAAAUCUCAUCGCUCAACGGUGAAACUGCCUUUGAUACUAUCAUUCUUGAGUCCGAUAGAGAUCUGUGGAAUUCCGAGUGUAGCAGUGAAAUGUGUAGAUAUUCGGAAGAACACCAGUGGCGAAGGCAGCAGAUUGGGUCGGUACUGACGCUCAGGCACGAAAGCAUGGGGAUCAAACAGG
rnacentral:rRNA from 1 species